rnacentral:rRNA from 1 species
UACGUAGGGGGCUAGCGUUGUCCGGAAUCAUUGGGCGUAAAGGGCGCGUAGGCGGCUCGGCACGUCCGUUGUGAAAUCGCCCGGCUCAACUGGGCGGGGUCGGCGGAUACGGCCGAGCUGGAGCAAGCUAGGGGGUAAUGGAAUUCCCGGUGUAGUGGUGGAAUGCGUAGAUAUCGGGAGGAACACCAGUGGCGAAGGCGGUUACCUGGAGCUUUGCUGACGCUGAUGCGCGAAAGCGUGGGGAGCGAUCCGG